rnacentral:rRNA from 1 species
UACGAAGGGUGCAAGCGUUAAUCGGAAUUACUGGGCGUAAAGCGCGCGUAGGUGGUUCGUUAAGUUAGGAGUGAAAGCCCCGGGCUCAACCUGGGAAUUGCUUCUAAAACUGGCGAGCUAGAGUAUGGUAGAGGGUGGUGGAAUUUCCUGUGUAGCGGUGAAAUGCGUAGAUAUAGGAAGGAACAUCAGUGGCGAAGGCGACCACCUGGACUGAUACUGACACUGAGGUGCGAAAGCGUGGGGAGCAAACAGGAUUAGAUACCCGUGUAGUCCCUGA